GGGCACAAAUCUGAAGCAGCAAUUAAUGGUUUGCGCUGAAAAGUUGAUCGUAUGGCGGUUACUCGCUGGUGGUGACCAAUCGAUCAACUUUCCAGCGCAAACCAUUAAUUGCUGCUUCAGAUUUGUGCCC
rfam:Aedes albopictus isolate Foshan contig46863, whole genome shotgun sequence.